AGCUCAAACUGUAAAGACACCCAGUGAAAGUAAUAUAAAUGAAGUAUUGCUUUUGGGUGGCUGGCUCUUGUUCUGCUGCAGUAAACUGGGAUGUUACUUUGGGAUAAUCCCCUUCUGUCUUUUAUUUGACAGGCGCUAGUGGACCGGACAUUAAGACGUCUUUACCUCUCACAUUCACCAGCAGAAAGGCCAUGUAUUUUCCCUCCCAUCAACCCUGCUACUCAAAGCAAAGAGAGGGGAGACCCAGCCAAGCUCCCCCUCCAGGAGCACCAGAGGAAAGUGGAGGACAACAAGUGUCUACUUGAGGAGCUGGCGCGUAUGGAGCAGGAGCUGAUAGACCGUCUUGGCAGGGAGGUGGCGAGACAGAGAGAGCUGAACGUUCUGCGACAGGAGGACAACAGGCUACGCUGGAGGACUCUGUGCUUCCUCCAGCUCAACCAGCGCCUC